GUGGGCUACGGGGGCCCUGCUGCAGGGGCGCACCCCUCACCAGCUUGGCGGCAGGGGUCUUCCACACUGCAACAUGACUCAUGCCUCGUUUCCACAGCCCGGACAGAUGGGGACACUGAGGCACAGAGGUCUGGCCUGAUGAUCUAGUUCUCCUCCAGCUCAGAAAGGUGUCAGGAGUCUCGAUAAGUGACUCAGGCUGCCACCGCCAUCCGAACGCAUCUGCUUUCUGAAAGCCCCUGUAGGGGGUGAACAGCCUCCCCCAGAAUUCACAUCUAUCCAGAACCUCCAAAUGUGACCUUAUCUGGAAAUGGCAUCUUUGCAGAUGUGCUUCGUUCAGAUGAGGUCGCUGUGAAUGGGAGGGGCCCCAAUCCCAUGACUGAUGUCCUCAUAAGCUGGACAGAGAUGCACAGCGGAGGCCCUGUGAGGAUGGAGAUGGAGGGAUUGGGCCGAGAGGGGCCCUGGGGGUGUGGCUGGAAGCGGGGCAAGACACGCAUGCGUCUCGGGCCACGUGAGGGCCUGCCUUUCACAGGGGGAGACACACUUUGGGCACACUGAAGGUCCAUUGAACGAAGGUCCAAACAGAUGUCCCUUCUCCCUCGUGACCCCACAAGGUCCCAGGGUGGCCCACGGGGCUUCAGGCCUCGGGGCUGAGGAUGCCUCCAUGGUACCCAGGCACCUGCCCAACACCACACCUGCCCCUCCCGCCAGGGCCACUGGCCAGGGGGCCUCCAUGUUUCCCGAGAGGCGACCCGGGAGAGGUCACACUGGCCGUGGCGUCCAGAUGCUGUGACUGCCACCCGCUCCCUGUCUCUUACACCAACCACCCCGUGGUUCACCCUUUUACAGCUCGGGGCAGAGCUGGGCGGUCAUCACCACUGACUCUUGAACAUCUCCAGCUCCAAAACCCCGGCCCCAUCAGCAGUCACCCCCGCCCCCGGCAGCCACCAUCUGCCUCUGAUUCUGGCCCCGUCCUGUGAUCAGGGUCCCGUGACACCCCCGCAUCCACGUCUGAGGGUCACCACGCUGCGACGUGGCCAGGGCUUUCCGGGCCGCACACGCUCCCCAGCCUGCUGCGGGUUUGGGGACCAUCUCCCCCCGCAAUCAGGUAGUGCCCGACCCGUCCGCCCCCACCCUGCAUGGGGCCCAGGGAAGGACUUGGAAAAAAAGCUGGCAGCUCAGGGCCAGAACAAUUAUUUCCCAUUAACGCAAAAUCCUUCCUUCCCCAGGCGGCGAGCUGGCGCCGUGAGCCCUGUUUCUACGUUACUGAACCUGCUGGAGAGCAGUGGGUCAGUCAACUAAGGGACACGCUGACAGCCGUCACGAGGGAGGGCUGCGCUCGCUCUACAGAAAGCCCACUGGUGCUCCGAGCCAGGGCGGCCCUCAGGGACGCCUGUGUGUGCCGGGCCCCCCCCACCCAUCCCUCUGGUGCGCCGUCUGCUGGGCCCCCUGAGCCCAGCCCUGGGCCCCCCCUGGUCCGUGCGGCCCCACGCAGGGAGGGGACAGCGGGCUGCCCCGGGACUGGCAGCAGAGACAGGGACACCGGCAAUGGGGGUCCGCGUGGCUAAGGAGGGGCCUGAUGUCACUGAACAGGAGCACAUCCCGUGUGCCCACCAGGUGCCCCUGGUUGGAGGUCUUGCCCGCAUCCCACAUGCGGCUGCGUCCCCCGCCCCAGAGGGCAGUGGCGGGAACCCACGGGCCGCAGUGGGAAUAGCACGCUCUUCCACGGGGAGGCUCGGAGGCCUCUUGCCCGCACAGGCGCCAGCGCACCAAAUGAAGGGGCACCCCCGGCAAGGCACCCGGGGCGGCGGUUGGCAGCUCUGAGACCGCGUGUGACAAAGCUGUGCUCUAGCAGCCACCCAGGGGCACCACGGAUGUCCCUUCCCGUCCGGAAAAUAUAGCUUUUGUCUUUCUUAAGCCCAGGAGGCUUGCAGCCUCAGAGGACAUGUGUCAAAGUGAAGGGCCACGUUGUGUCCCCCAGUUGACACACUGGGACUCCUAACCCCGGUACCAGUUGGCAUGACCACUGAUGGAGUUAAGAUGUGGCUGUCAGGGUGGCCCCCAGGCAGCGGACACCAGGGCACAGACACGCCCAGGACAGAGGCCUCUGGAGGGUCCAGGCUCCCCACACGCCCCCUCGGACGUCCAGCCCCCAGGACCCGGGGUGAGCAGUUCUGGUUGGCUGCCCCCCCUGCCCCCUGCAGCACCUGGGGACGUGGCCCCAGCUGACACAGGGUGUGCUGCUUCCUCCACAAACGAGCCCCUUACUGGCACCAUCACUUCCUCCUCAGCCAGCUCUGGUCCCCGAGUCACCCUCGGGCCUUUGGUUCGAGCCAGUCCCACUGGCCUGGUGGCUCCGAGACGCUGAGGCCAAACCCAGUUCCAAGAGCGAAGGAAGAGAGCCCUUCCACCACCCCAGCAGGCCAGAGCCCGACCCGACCUCCGUACGGAGCAUGGGGAAGGCCCACUCGGAGCCAGCUGCUCCUGCAGACACGGCCGUGACAGCUCCCCCUUGUUAGGGCAGGACCCCCACCCCUGCUGGGGUGCAGCCCGCUCCCACCCCCUCUGAGCCAGUGCCCAGAGCACCCCCAGCCUGUCUCUCUGGACCCAAGCCUCCCCAAGCCCUGCAGCCCAGCACCCGUCAGUGGAGGCUCCAAGUACGAACGGGCGUUGUUCGUACAGAAGAGGAAACAAAGGCCCAGGGGACGCAGAGCCAGCUUCUGAGUCCAAUCUGCCCACAGCUGGCCUGCUCUGCACAUCUGCCCAUGAGGUGCUGUCCUGCAGCCCGGGUGUGCUCGGGGCCUCCUGAGCAGGACCACCUACCUGCCAGUGACCCACCCCGGCCUCCCACUGCCCCCACCUGCCCUCGCCUGCCCCUUCAGAUCCACGACGGUAAACAGAGGCUGCAGCUUUUGCAAACCCACAUGACUUCUCCCUGUGAGUCCACUCUCUGAUACAUUGUAAGGAGGUGGACCCUUUCUGGGCUGGGCUGGGCAGAAGCAGGGUCAGGGCUGGUGCAGGGGAGAAGAGGAGAGGGGAGGGAGAUGCUGGCAGGGAGAGCACGUGAGAGCAGCCACAGCACCACCCGGGAGCUGGCCAGAAAUGCAGGUUCUCAGGCCCCGUCAACCUCACGAUCACAGGAACCCAGAUCAGAAAAGGCCACCAGGCCACUGAGCCUCCAGCAUGCUGCCUGACACCAGGACUCCAUCCUCUGUCCUUCAGGGGUGCCAGGAAGGUGGGCUCUCCUUGGAAGGACACCAGAGCCUGGCCAGAGAGCCCUGGAUGUGCCCUUACAGGCCUGGGCUUGAGGCCUUCCAGAUCCUCGGGCUGAUCACCAGGCCCCGUGGGCCCCAGCCUCGCGGCCGUGGAACAGAGGCCGCACAGGCCAUGCUGCCGGCACGUGCCCAGCACACAGGACGCCCGGGGGACCCACAGCUGGGUUCCCCCUCUGGCCUGGCUGGCAGCACCGCCCAUCAGUGGAGAAGGUCCUGGUCCAUCCCCCAGACCCCGAUCUAAGGGGGCAAGCCCCUGGCAGGGCCCAUGGAGCUUGAGGCACAGGGCUGACCCCUACUCCAGGGGGCAGGCGGGGAGAGGGCAUCAGAGAGAGCUGCCUCAGUCAGAGCAGACCGGGAGGCCCUGGUGACCCUGGGGUGGAGGACGGCCCCGGAACAUCCCUGGUGGCAUAACCCCGAGGCUGCUUUAUUUCAGGAACCACAGGAGAGCUGUGCAGAGGGUGGCCCUGGAAACCACAUCAGCAGUGGGGCGGAGGCUGCUCCCACGCCCCUCCAGGGCAGACAGCACUGAGCAAUCCCGCAUUCUUUCCGGGGGGUCCUCCUCUCAGCCGCCCCAAGCAGCCGUGGUCAGCGGACAAGCUGAGAGCUGCGUGCCGCCCCUGGGUGUGCUGCCACAUUACCCCAGCCAAGUCUGAUGGUCCUAAAUGCACCGCGCACAGCGCACAUGCCCAUCAGAGGCCCCCACCCACCCACCUGUGCCCAACCCUCCCCAUCACGGGGACGCAUCAGCUGGAGGAGGAGCGACCUACAGUGAGGUCCUGGGGGGUCUGUGCAAGCUAGCCCCGCCCCCUGAGAGGGCAUGGGAGGAGCCAGUACCAGGGUGGGGGACCCCAAAGCGCAUCAGCAGAGGCAAACAAGACAAAACGCCUAUGGGGUUAUGUGGUCAAGGCCUUGUCAGCUGAGCUUCAUCAGCACCUGGGAUGGGGUCUGGGCAGGGGUGUGGCAGGGAGUGCGGCGGGAGCCCGGGGUGGGGGCCGUCCCUGGAGAUAAUCUGUCAGGUUAGCUCCAGAGCACACCUUCCUCUGGAGGCCCCUCCUUCCCCAGGGAGGGAGCUGCCUUCCCAAGGCCCACCGUCCCUCAGCCCUCUGCCAGGUGCUCUGUCCAGGGGGGCUGCUUGUGGGACAGUCCCACGGCCUGGGGGCUCAUUUCAGAGCCGGGUGCCUGGCCCAGAGCCCCUGGCGCACACCCCGUGGAAAACAUUGCCACUGGCUUUCUGCUGCUUGUCCUAGGCGCCAGCCGAGAAGCCUAGCAGACAGGCUGGAGGCUCUCAGGUGCAUCCUCAGCUCUGCGCUGCCUCUCCCGGCCUCCGUCAGCCUCCCAGAGUCGCGGGUCAGGGCCUCGACGCUCCAGCGCCAGCACCCUGCCAACAGCCGGUGCUCACAGAGUGCCCAGCACCCACCCUCAAGGUGCCCCAGUGGCACAUGAGGGCCGGACCCCAGCAUCUGCACAGGGUGUGGGUGAUGGGCAGCGCACUCAGCUUGUCCUGACAGGUGAGGAUGCCAACGCCAGAGACGGGAAGACCUCAGCUCUGAGUCACCCCACGGCCAGCCGUCCUGGAGUGCCACCACUGUCAGACCCCAUGCAGGUGCUGCGGACGCGGGAGAGAGCACGACCCAGCUCUUGCCCCUAGGAGGCUCAGAGAGCAAGACGGGCCUUCACCACCAUGCCGCACAUCCCCAGGCUAGCACCAGGUCAGCGAGGGCUUCCUGGAGGAGGCAGACUGGGACCUGGGAUCUGAAGGACCAGGAGGAGACCAGUAAAGAUCCUUCCCUACCCCCAUUCUUUUCCUGUUAAAAAAUCCUCAAAGAAAGAAAGAGAAAAAAAAAUCUAACGAAGGACAUGUUGCCCUGCGCACUGACGGGGUCAAGCAAGGCUGACUCACAAAGGCGACCAGACGCCGACGGGGUCACGGAGGUGCCGUCACAGAGGGACAGCCAGCCGCCAGCACUCCACGCCCGUCCAGAAACGGCCCUCGCCUGACACAGAGGCUGUGCCCAGAGGAUGGGGGCUGUGCCAAUGUCCUGGGGCGGCAGGAAUAGGCCGCCACACCCCUGGGGGCGGGAGCGACAGACCCGUGUUCUCUCUCGCCAGAAUCGCGGCCCGGGCCCCCUGCCUGGUCCCCAGCCCCGGUGCUGCCGUCAUCGUCUGCGCUCCUUGGCUUGCAGACGCUCACCCAGGGCCCUGCCUCUGCCUUCUCAGGACACUGGUCACUACACGUAGGGCUCACGUCAUCCAGGAUGACCUCAUCUCAACAUCCUCAGUCACAUCGCAGUUACCUCGCUCCAAAGAAAGGCACGGCCGGAGGGUCCGCUGCACGGGUCCCCUGAGGCCCGCCCUUCGAGACCCUCCGUCCCGGGCCAGAUGCUCCCAGGAAGCAGUCCUGCACCUGCCCCCCACCCCGCAGCGCCCGGCUCCCAGGAACACUCCAUCUGGGGCAGGUCGGGCCCCCGUGAGCCUCAGUCUACCCAACUGUGGAGCGGGUAUAGCGAGGGUCCCGCGGGAGGGCUCUCCGGAGCGCCAGGAGCUGGGCGUAGACCACACACAGCCACUUGUUAGCGGCUGCUUUGUGGGUUUCGUUGUUCAGCAGCGUUAUCGGGCUACAGUUCGUGUACCCUGACAGCCUCCGGUUCCGAGGGUGCAGGUCGGUGGCUUCUAGCGUACUUGGAGCUGUGCAGCCAUCACCAUAAGCUAAUUUUAUAACAUCGCCCUUACGAGAAAGCUCACGCCCGUCAGCGCUCUCACGGCUCCUGCCGCCCCCAGCUCCUGCACCUGCUCGUCUGCCUUGUGUUUUGGUUGCUGUGUCGAAAGAACCUCUCUCAGGCGGAAGCCGAGGACCCAAAGUCUGGGGCUGUGGUGCCACUGUGCGGGGUCCCCACCCGUUCUCCGGCCACACCCGGGCCGCCUCCCACCUGGCAUCAUGGAGCUCCUCUUGGAGCUCAGAGAAACUCUUUGCUACAAAAACAGACAAAACUCCAGAAAACCACCGUCUUAGAACAGCAAAGAAGACAGAAGGAGGCUCACACUCUCACCCCAGACACAGAAGCACCCCCCACCCCACCCACAGCACUGCUCAAUCACUGUAGCCCACCGGCCACCCCCACCACAGAGAAUGGGCCUGGUGUGCCCAUCGACCACGUGCUGGCACCAGGGACUCAAAGCACGAGGCAGGUCCUGCCCUGAGGAGGUGGCACGUCUGAUGGGGACGGCUGGGGUGCACAGAACCACAGCGCGGUGGGUACCACCAAUGCCCUGGGGCAGGGGGACAGGGCAUCCCUGAGCUGGAGGUAAUGAGGGGCUGGCCAGGCGGUGAGUUCCAGGAGGAAGGGACAGCGAGUGCAAAGGCCCAGGGGCAGGGGAACGAGCAAUGUGCAGCACAUCAGAAAACAAGGAGGUGAGGUGGGGGGGCAGCAGGAUCUGCCUUGUAGGGAGACAGUGGGUGAUGGAGAUCAUCCUAAAGACCGGCUACGACAGCUGGACACACACACAUUUCUAAAUAUACAAAAGCAAGAGGAGUCCUUUUAAAACCUUUUUUUUCAGGUGUAGAGAAUGAAUGUGAAUUUCCACUUCCACCUGUUUGCCCACCCAUCCAACGUCCCUCCCACAGGUAACUACUCUUAAUUCUGGCGGACUCUGGCCCGGCGCACCGUCUGCGGACUUAGAGGCAUUCACGUUUUAUUUUUGAAACCUAAACGGCGCCAUACGCUACAUAUUCUUUUCCCAUUAGUUGUGUUGCAUCUAAUGUGUCACGGACAGGUGUGCAUACGAGUUCACUGAGGUUUCCCUCAUCCCUUUCGGCGCCUGCAUGACAUCGCGCCGCUCGGCCCGACAGCAGCCCCCACGCGCGCACACUCAUCACAAACUUCGGACGCAGAUGUUCGCACACCGCGCCCUGCUCUGCCUCAUGCCAUUUUGUUGGUGGUUUUUUUUUCCAACCUAACGCUGUAUCUGGGAGAUUGUUCCACACCAGCAAUCACAGAGCUCUCUUCUCUUGUUCUUUUUAAUGGAUUUUUUUUCCCCCCGAAAUAAACUGUGCCUGCUCCUGCUGAUGAACA